rnacentral:rRNA from 1 species
AUUGAACGCUGGCGGCAGGCUUAACACAUGCAAGUCGAGCGAGCGGCGGACGGGUGAGUAAUGUCUCGGAAACUGCCUGUUGGAGGGGGAUAACUACUGGAAACGGUAGCCAAUACCGCACACCUUCGGCUGUGCCCAAAUGGGAUUAGCUAGUUGGUGGGGUAAUGGCUCACCAAGGCGACGAUCCCUACCUGGUCUGAGAGGAUGACCAGCCACACUGGAACUGAGACACGGUCCAGACUCCUACGGGAGGCAGCAGUGGGGAAUAUUGGACAAGGGGCGAAAGCCUGAUGCAGCCAUGCCGCGUGUGUGAAGAAGGCCUUCGGGUUGUAAAGCACUUUCAGCGAGGAGGCGUUACUCGCAGAAGAAGCACCGGCUAACUCCGUGCCAGCAGCCGCGGUAAUAC